ensembl:lncRNA
UGUCUUACUCCCUAAAGUAUCACCGUUGUUUAUUUAGGCAUACAUUUUAUUACCUUUCUGAUAUAGCCAGCACAGGAGAUUUACUGCAGAUGCUUUAAAGAAACCUGUGUUUCCAAAGGCUUACAUGUAGAAGAAACGUUCUAAACAAAUCAAUUGGAAUUAUAUUUCUAAAGAUGUAUGAAAAAUUCUUGAAUUGGAAGACAAGUGCAUUUCUAUUAAGCCACUAUGAGACAAAUUCGGAUUCAUAGCCCCUUUUUCUUCACAUUGCAAUGGAUCAUCUAGAAUGACAGUAAGACAUUACAUAUCGUUCCAAAACGUAGGAACACGUGCCAACUUCAGCAAACUGUGCCUCCAGAGUUAAAAACCUUAUACAAUGUGGAUCCAGGAAAUCACAAUUUCAAGCCCAAGAAAUAGAGUGGAAAAGAGUUGACUGCCAGUAAACAAAUGGACACAGUUUCGAGAACAACUGGAAAUACCAGCCAAAAGGGAAAAAAACUAUACUGUGCAUCAAUUUGUAAAAUAAAAAGGGACAUCCAGCAGUUGGAUAGUACAGGACUAGAUGUUUUUAAUAUGAUAUAGUUUUAAGGUCUAGGUUAUCUUUUCUAAACCUAUAGUCAGAGUAGGGUUUUAUAAGUAUAUUUUAUAAUGGGUUUUAAAUUUUAAUUUACAGUGGAAUCUCGACUUAAGAGCAUUCUAAUUUAAGAACAUUUUGAGUUAAGAGCUGUUGCUUGGCCUGGGUUUUGCUUUGACAUAUGAGCAGAGUUUUGAGUUAAGAGCUAGUGUCAGAGGGAGUGCUAGCAUCAAUGAGAGUGCUUGUAGGAGAGGGAGUGCAAGCACAAGAGUACAGGGUUUUAAUACUAAUAUUAAUACACUUUAUUUAUUUUAUGCUUAUCUCCCCUGAGGGACUCAGAGUGAAUUACACUACACAUAUAAGGCAAAUAUUCAGUGCCUUUUUAUACAACAACAUACUAAGAGCCAAAACCAAGGUCACUACAACAUCUGUUAUAGAACUCCAAUAUGCCGAUGACAACGUAGUCUGUGCGCACUCAGAAGAAGACCUACAAGCCACUCUAAACACCUUUGCAGAAGCAUACGAGAAGCUCGGCCUCUCAUUGAACAUCAAGAAAACCAAAGUGCUCUUCCAACAGGCACCAGCUAAUCCCUCUGAAAUACCAGGAAUACAACUUAAUGGUGUCACAUUAGAAAACGUUGACCAUUUCCGCUACCAUGGCAGCCACCUCUCCCCAAAAGUCAACAUCGACACCGAAAUACAACACCGCCUGAGCUCUGCAAGUGCAGCAUUUUUCCAUAUGAAGCAGAGAGUGUUUGAGGAUCAGGACAUCCGUAGAGAUACCAAGGUGCUUGUUUAUAAAGCCAUUGUCCUCCCAACCCUGCUCUACGCCUGCAAAACGUGGACAGUCUACAGACGUCACUCUCAACUCCUGGAGCGUUUCCAUCAGCGCUGCCUCAGAAAAAUCCUACAAAUCUCUUGGGAAGACAGGCGGACAAAUGUCAGCGUGCUGGAAGAAGCAAAGACCACCAGCAUUGAAGCGAUGCUCCUACGCCAUCAACUCCGCUGGACUGGCCACGUUGUCCGAAUGCCCGAUCACCGUCUCCCAAAGCAGCUACUGUACUCUGAACUCAAGAACAGGAAACGUAAUGUUGGUGAGCAGGAAAAGAGAUUUAAAGAUGGGCUCAAAGCCAACCUUAAAAACUGUGGCAUAGACACUGAGAACUGGGAAGCCCUGGCCCUUGAGCGCUCUAAUUGGAGGUCAGCUGUGACCAGCAGUGCUGUGGAGUUCGAAGAGGCACGAAUGGAGGGCUUAAGGGAGAAACGUGCCAAGAGGAAGGAACGUGAAGCCAACCGUGACUAG